rnacentral:rRNA from 1 species
UACAGAGGAUGCAAGCGUUAUCCGGAAUGAUUGGGCGUAAAGCGUCUGUAGGUGGCUUUUUAAGUCCGCCGUCAAAUCCCAGGGCUCAACUCUGGACAGGCGGUGGAAACUACCAAGCUCGAGUACGGUAGGGGCAGAGGGAAUUUCCGGUGGAGCGGUGAAAUGCGCAGAUAUCAGGAGGAACACCGGUGGCGAAGGCGGGUCUCUGGGCCGAUACUGACGCUGAGGAGCGAAAGCGUGGGGAGCGAACAGG